AUCCAGCUGAAGAGUCCCGAAUAGGAUAAAACGCGGGUCCUGGAU
rfam:Schistosoma mansoni, Puerto Rico, WGS project CABG01000000 data, contig: 0138